GACGUUUGCGGCUAACGGAGGUGGAUGGCGGAGGAGGAGGGAGGGAGGAAGGGAUGCAGGCACCAUUCAUAUGUCAACAUUAAACGUAAACUAAAACUGCACUAAAACUUCACUAAAACUGCACUUUCUUUAAACAAAACCAAAACUGCAUUUUCUUUACUUUAAACCAAACUAAAACUGCACUUUCCCUGAAACUGAAACGGCACAUUCUUAACUGUAAAAAAAAAAAAAAAAAAAAUGCAGUUUAACUUUAGACUUAGCUUAACACAACACUACAUUUUUCAAUUAUCCUCCGUUUUUUUUUUUUCUCUUCUUUUUGGCACUUUUUCAGCACUUUCACUUGCAGGUCUUUUGAAAAGAACCUAUCCAAAAGAGCCUUACUUUCGCCUGCCUUCCAAAAUGUUACGGAAAUGAGUCAAACAAGUCUCACUUUAAUGAGACUUGUUUGACUCAUUUCCGCAACAUUUUAUGAAGUGAUGAAGCACGACCAGUUGAAACUUUUUCUGGGUGUUUCUUUUCAAUGAAACUUGAAAGCUUCUCCCAUAUUGCCAGCAUGUCUUUAAUUUCACUUGUAGAAAUCAUUUCCUCUGGUUCUACCUCCUCCUCUCUACUAAUCUGCAGAACCUCCGUAUGUUGCAUCAUCUGUAGCUCCUUCAACUCGUCUGUUGAGAAUUCAUGUUCCUCGACGAGUUCGUGAACGUCACUCUCAUCUACCUCCAGACCCAUCAGCAUUCCGAGGGACACAAUCUCCUCCAACACUUCUGACUCGGGUUCAAUCUCGGGUUCAAAUCCUUCGAACUCCCUGUCUGCAACAUCAGGACAUAACUCUUACCUUGCGGAGCUCAAGAUUCGAAACCUUUUCUUGUAACCCCCUGUCAUGCCAAGUCAUUAAUGCGUAAGCAUAUCACGAUGUUGUAGUGCUCUUUCCAGAACUCCCGAAGGAUUAGAUUAGUAUUCUCGGUCACCUCAUAGCAGCGGCGGAACAAAUACUUUGUGUAGAGCUUUUUAAAGUUGGAGAUGACCUGCUGAUCCAUAGGUUGUAAGAUUGCAGUCGUGUUGGGAGGUAGAGGACUUUCACGCAUUUGAAUUCGUCGAGGAUGUCAUCUUCAAGGCCAGAUUUUUCCAGGAAAUGGCAGUUAAUGACUUCAAUUGUAACAGCAGUAUUCUUGAUCACAUCAUAGAAAUGUUCCACACUGCAGUACAAAGAUUGAAAACUGGAGAACAGGUGAAAUUUUGCGAGAUUCCCUUGGGUAGUUUUAAAGUUUAUAAAUAAAUGGCAAGUUCAUUUUAUAGUAACUUGAACAAAAGAAAACUAGCCUCUACCUCAUGGUGUCAAUGUCUUUGUUUAUCAGACAUGAACAACAUAGGCACUGUUUUUCACCUGUCUCAGGAGAACAGACAAUCAUUUGGAUUGUGGCAAAAGGAAGUGAUUAUGCCAAUUUUCAGGAGAGGUACAACAGAUGGAACCUGUUGAUGCUGGUGUCUCCUUGGUCAGUAUUUCAUGCUCUCUUGAAUGACUGUAUAGCUGGCAUUACAAGUGGCCCCACAUGUUUCAUGCAGUACACCAAAUUGUCCCAACAGGAUACCUUAUGCACCUUCACAUUCCUUAUUUAGUGUUACAGCAGUGAAAAUAUUAGUGGCUAAUAUAAAUCUUCAUGCAGACUGAUACAUGCAGCAUUGUUAUGCUAAAAUACCAAGUUACCAAGGUUAGGAGUGUGGGGCCUCUGAUCCACUAUUAUUGUUGCAUCUGGAAGAUCUAUUUUCUUGCUCAGAUUUCCAUGUUUUGACAUGUUUUGUGUUAUUUAUGUUAUUAUUGAAUAAUAGAGAUGAAUGUGACCUGCAGAGAAUGACAGUCUGUAACUAGUAAGCUGAUUAUCUCUCUUUUUUUUUUUUAACUCUUCCUAAUAGUCUUCCAUCAACCUAAAGGACUACCCAUUUUGCCCAUGUUUUAAUGCCCAUUAUGCCUCCCUCCAACAGUAGAAGUUCAGCAUCUCUAUUUACGAGUAAGUUUGCCUUGUUUCUGGGAGAGCAAAUAUUUUUAGAAAUAUGGAAAUUAAAUAAUUUGGUAGAGAGAUAUUUCAGUAUAUAGUAUACUAUAUGUAUGAAAUUCACUUAUAAACAAAUAAACCAUAAAUGACA